UAGACUCCGUCCCGGCACUGAGAGCCCAGCAGGUGUCUGUGACCAGGCGUUCCCCUGUCAGGCUCCCAGCACCCGCCUGGCCUUUCACCGGGAGGUGAUGUAAGCGGACCCCUGGCUGCAGCCCUCCUCCCUGGAUCAGCCUCCUGGAAACUUUCUAGGGCCUGCUGGAUGGCCCGCGGCCCUGUAGGUGCCAGGCCUGUGAUUUCUGCUGGAUUUUGGCCUCAGUGGGGAUCUGUCCACGGGAACAGUUCAGGGUCAUUUUGUUAAUCUUCAGAGGCCUUGCCCCAGAUUCUCCUCUGCUGUCCUGUGACGCUGGUGACAUUCCGGGAACACUUGGUCCACGUGAGGGGAGGAACCACUGCGGGGAACUUUGAUCAGCGCUGGCGCUGCUGGGCUCACACUGACCAUAGACCACGCCAGACACACUUCUGCUCCCUAGGAAGAGCCAGGGCGGCCUGUGCGUGUCCUCUCAGCCCCUCACGACGGUUCAACAUUUCCCGAAGCCUGCAAACGGGUCGAUUCGGCGGCUCAGGGAGCCCCCUUGUGGCACGCUGGACGAACGGCUCCCCUCACGGGGCGCGGCGCUUUCCUCUCUGGAAGUCACAACCCGCCCCCCGCCUCCCCGCCGAAGGGACAGCCGAACACAUCGACUCGGUGGCGCCGGGGCCGCUCCCGGGCAGGCGGAGAGAGCUGCCGAGGCUUCUGGCUCCUGCAGCUCUGGGCAAAUGCCAGGCCGCUGGGUGCCCGCGCCCGUGGGGCGGCGGGCGGGGGCCUGAGGUUCCAGGGCGGCACCGCCACCUCCUGGCGCGCUCUAGUCCGUCCCCUUGAUGCUGCGCGUCUUGCACCGUGGGACAGCCCUGCACGACAGCGAGUUGUCAGGCGUCGCCCAUGACUUGCAAACGGGCCUCCAGGCACUGCUGUGUGAAAUGCUGUAGUGAGCUCAGCCUGCCACUGUGACACAGGAGAACCCAAGGUUGUCCUUCUAGCUUGGACACUUUCAGUUUUCCAGGACCGCAACUUAGCAUGUACCUGCUGGGAAGACUGUGCUUUGCCUUCUUUGCAAUUUUAUCAUGGUUGUUCAGCAUUUUGGAAAAUAUCCCUGCACCCCGCCUCCCUUAACCCUUAUUUCAAAAACUCAAAUAUAAACAGAAAGCAGCUUCUCUUUAAAUUCCUCCUUUCCUCGUUAUCUAGUAGGUGAAAGCCUCUGAUGAUUUCAUCAGAUCUCUGGUGAGGUUGAACCUGAGCAUUUUCACGUGGGGAUAAAUAUUAUUUUAUCAUAAACUACCUUUUAUUUCUAAUUUAUUACAGUUAGAACAUUUAAUUUUUAAAUUCUCUGUGAGAUCUGAUUAUACUAUCUGUGAAAUUUAUUUCAGGAGACUGAAGGGGGUGUUAAGAAUCAGUUGCUAUGGGGAAUCAUUUGCUAUGGGGCGCCUGGGUGGCUCAGAUGGUUGGGUGUCUGCCUUCGGCUCGGGUCAUGAUCUCAGGGUCCUGGAAUCAAGUCCCACUUGAUCGGGCUCCUUGCUUAGCAGGAAGCCUGUUUCUCCCUCUGCCUGCCGCUCGCCCUGCUUGUUACUCUCCCUCUCUCUCUGGCAAAUAAAUAAAUAAAAUCUUUAAAAAUAAAUCAUUUGCUGUAACAGGGGUGUUGGAUCUGUCAGCGAUGAAAUCCACUGUUCC
rnacentral:lncRNA from 1 species